GGGUGGUUCGGCCUUGAACCAUACCAAACCGACCAGUACAGUGCAGUUCCAGUUGUAUUCCAAAAAACCGGCCUAAAUCGGAUCAGUUCUCCACCGGUAUGGUAUGGGGUGUACCGGCCGGUUCGGGUCGAUAUGGAAUACCAUGAUUUGUUGCAUAUUGAUUUGAUCAUGAGAACAUAUUUACUCAUCAUUCUCUUUGCCUUCCAACUCCAGCUCCAAGUCUUUGUCACCUGAGGGUAGACAUUCAUGUGAAGAAACAAGCUGCUUGUGUGCUAAAGCUGAAGCUUGAACUCACUGCUUCUCUUACCAUCAUGGACCAAACCCAAAUUUGGUGACUGAAUCUUUUCGAUGCAUUAAGUAUUUGCUGCCCACCACCUACUCAGUUGUUUUCUUAUUUGAAGUAUUUGUUUGGCAGUCAUUUCUACCCACAGCUCAGAUAAGAGACCACAAUGUAGCCAUGGCACUUAGCUAGGCACUAGGCUCUUGAGCCUAGCAAGCUGCUAGCACCUCCUAGCACAAGCCAAGUUAACCAUGGGAAGAAGGUUGGCACCAGCUACAGUACACAAAUUUCAUAUCAGUACCAACAAAAAUUUCAAUUAAUUUCAGCUCUCGUUGAUCAAAUGAAUGUCUAGAAGUCUAUCCAAGCCAGCAAUAAUGCAUUUCAUAGACCAAUAUGAGUCACUGCAGACUAUUUGCUUAACAAUUUGCCACAAAGUACAGCAAUCCUAAAAAACAAAAAAGGUUCAGUCUUUUAAACCCGAUGACUUGAACCACUAUAACACCCAGGUUUGCCCAGUUCAACCACAGUCAGUCACAUUUCAACUGACCCACAUCCAUCCACUCAAUCUGUCCAUCAUGAGAUGAGGCUGUACUAUCUCCAUGUGAGAUCUGGCCACACUGCCUCAAAUCUGCCAUUGCUGCCCUCAUUUCCCUCAGAUCCAACAUCACCUCCUUCAAUCCCAUGAGAUCCAGCCACUGCCCUUGAUCCUCAUGAGACCCAUUCCUUGCUGUCUCAAAUCUUCCAUUCACAGACCAAAUCUUCCAUUUUGAUGCUUCUUCAUCAUUAUUCCAACAAUGCAAUACAUACCAUAAGAUAACCUUGCAGCCAUGGCAAUGAUUUGCCUACAAUGGGAGGCCAAAGGAUUUCUUCCCUUCUUUUUCAAUCAACUCCGGAUGGGCCAAAUCCAGUUCGACGGAUGGUUUGAACAGUUGAACAGUUCGAGUCAUCAAGUUGAAAGAGCUUUUGGAUUUUGCAGGUUUCGAUCCAACCCAAUGCAAAGGCUGACAGGUUGAUUGGGUUUCAAAACACUGCACAUAUAGUUGCAUACAAAUUACUAGAGGCCAACAUAUUGCUAUUAAGAGCAUGCUUCCAGCCACCUAACUCCAGGAACAACCACUCCAUAAGCUGCUGCAACCUAUUCAUUAGGAACAUACAUAUGGGUGGCAACAACCUUCCUAUCAUCAAUCAGCAGCCAAUAUCACCGGCUCCUUUGAGCAGUUCCUUCAAGCUCUUCUUCGAGAGUUUUAGGAGCCCCUUUUGAACAUUUCUACAGCAGCAACAUCUUAAUCCAAUCCCAUCAUCAAUGUGGACAUUAAAUUGGAUGUCAUGCCACCUACAAGCAACAUCCAUGAUUCCAUUCAGCUUCAAUUGUUUACCUAUCAAUUAUGGGGCCAUAUUGAUAGAACCAGAACUUGUCCUUCAGAUGGCUCUGACUAGCCUUUUGCUUGCUUGUUGCUCAUCAUCACAUCGGUCGUGCAAUUUCUUAAACAAUCAUGCCUGCCAUCAGGUUUCAAAUUCUACAUCUAACAGAGCAUCAAAACAUCACAGUUAAGGAUUUGCAGAACUAUGUGGUCAAUAUGAGCAGAAAAAAGGUUCUAAGACUUCCUUGAGUACAAGCAGCCCGUGCAAUCAGCUAGCAGAUGCUCAUUCAGCUCUCUAUAUUGGUUAGAACUACAUACUAUUAUAAUGAAUCUCCUAAUAUGGCAUUAUCAAAAUAUUACACUUGAAGAAGUUUCAAAACUUAUAGCAAAGAAGAGCUGAUAGGAAAGCAAGAGAGACCAGCAUCCUCCAAAAUCUCUGCAGGUACAUCGAAAUUACCACUAAUCAGAUCAAACAAAAGAAUUAGAUAUACUACACCACCCAAACAGCCAGGAGAGAAAAAUAUACAUCCAACAUCCCCCAUAUUCUUCUAGAAACCAAAAAUAACCAUGCAUAAAACCCCAGAUCCAUCUUGAAUUAAAGUACUUGAACAAGACCCUGCUAAAAGAUUGCUUCAACAGAUCAGUUAUUAAAGAAGAUAAGGUAGUCAAAAUUCAGUUAGCAUGAAGACAUCAAAAAACAGGAAACUUCCUCUCAAGAACAGCCAAUUGCAACUC
rnacentral:lncRNA from 1 species